rnacentral:lncRNA from 1 species
CCUUUACCUUCCGUCUUGGAAUCAAUACUGUAUAUUGGCUCCAAGGCAGAAGAAUGGUAAGGGCUAGGCAAUGGGGGUCAAGUGACUUGCCCAGGGUCACACAGCUAGGAAGUAUCUGAGACCGUAUUUGAACCUAGAACCUCCCAUCUCUAGGCCUGGCUCUCAACCACUGAUCUACCCAGCUGCACCCUGGUUAUAGCAUUUUUAAAAGAACAAAAUAGAAACAUUGCAAUGAAGCAGAUAUUUAUCUGAAAGUUAAAUUUUCCCUUAGCAGUCUUUGCUCAGAGUCCUUAGCCAACCACUGCUCUAGACGUUAGAGCUAGCAGUCCCUCUGACACAAGUUUCCAAUUUCCCAGAAGAGUGUCAUUAUAAUAAUUAUUCCAGAGAGUUUUCACAUCAGCAGAGAAUAAACUUAUGAAAUCUAUGACAUUGUUAAAUUUCCAUCUGUUCCAGGAGCUGUUGACGAUACACAUGAGGUUAUUCAGGCACUGUUUCAAAAUGAUGUGAGUUGGAGGACCCAUAAAUCAUGUUGCUGCCUCACGACACAAGGUAUAUAUGGUGCCAGGUGCAGCAUAACAGAUGUAGCCUCCAAUUUACCAGGAUCAUGUCACAAUUCAUUCACAUUAUGGCAGUCUGGAGUUAGAAAUCUGCUGGAAAUGCGACAAACAUAUGCCAGGUGGCUGCUGGCAGCUCGAGGUCAAGGAGGCUUUGGUUUGGUGAUGAAUAAGGCCAUGCAUGCUAUUUUCCUGUUUCUAAACUAGUAAUGUGUAGACAAAGUUGAACUUGUGGCCCUCUGCUGUGCUGGUGAUCAAGGAAUAAGGAAUACAUCAAAGGCAGGUUCCUCUUCUAGAAUAAUGUCAUUUUAAUUAAAGGUCAUAUGAAGUAAAUCUA